GAUCCUGGCUCAGGACGAACGCUGGCGGCGUGCUUAACACAUGCAAGUCGAACGAGAAUCUAUGGAAAGAGGAUUCGUCCAAUUGAAAUAGAGGACAGUGGCGGACGGGUGAGUAACGCGUGAGGAACCUGCCUUUCAGAGGGGGACAACAGUUGGAAACGACUGCUAAUACCGCAUAACGCGUAGAGGUCGCAUGGCCUUUACGCCAACGAAUUAUU
rnacentral:rRNA from 1 species